CAUCUCCAGCCCAGCGUUUUGACCUGAAAAUUCUUUUGGCGUCGACACUUGAUCCUUUGGCAUUCCGGGGCCAAUUUCCGCACGCAUUUCGCCAUUCCGGCUGUUUAACUCAUCACCUACCGUGACACCUGGCGAUGAUUUUCCGGCUGGCACACGUAGCAGCUAUCUAAAUUUCAAUUAGAGUUUAAACCACCCGCACCGGAGGAGCUGAGCUCCCGUGGCGUGUUCCAGAAACCGGGUAACUGCUGCCCCGCCAACCUCACUGGAAAUAACUCAGCUCAUUAGUUGCAUAUUCAUGUGCGGCAGCAUUUUUUGCGAGCUUAAAUCACUGGGUGGCUGCCCGUUGAAGAAGGGGGUACAGGUACUUUUUUGAAAACGGCGCAUCAUAAAUUUGUUGAGAGGGAUUUCGUUCGGGGUAUCUGGGCAGGUUUUCCUCUUGAGUAACGAUACUUAAUAAACCCGCAUCAUUUUCCCAUUUGGUGCUCGCACUUCGCACGAUCCCCUGCCCCAGAACCAUCGAGAUGCCACUUCCACUUCCUGUUCCUUUUGCUGCUCCCAAAUUACCUGUCAUUUCGAAAUUAUGAUACCAAGGAAUCGCUGGUGGCUAUGGAUGUUCUGCCCCCUGGAAAGACAGCUUCCUGAGGAUGCAGGAACAAUUUUUAUGUUUAUGGCAAAAAGCGACGCCUAAUUUUAUUUUCGUUGCCGCGGGGCAGGAUGCCUUCCCGGCACACAUAUCUCAAAUUAAUGCCAAAAACGGGCAGAAUGUAAAACCUUAUGCGCAUUUUCCGAUUGUAAUCUGCCUCACACAUGGUUUUUUACUCAAAGUAACAACAUGACAGCUUGAUGAUAUUCCUCCCCAAAGUGGACAUUUUCAGCAAGGUGCCGGAGUAAACAUGGCAUCCGGAAAAUGGCUAAUAUGAGAUUUACUUUUUGCCAAAAGCUGACAAGGACUUGAGUUGUGUCAUAAACCAAAUGAAAGUCACAAAGGCCACUAGGGAUGAGCUAAAACCUAUGAAAACUGAUUAUGUUGGGCAAU